rnacentral:rRNA from 1 species
UACGGAGGGGGCAAACGUUGUUCGGAAUUACUGGGCGUAAAGGGUGCGUAGGCGGUUCGGCCAGUCUGAUGUGAAAGCCCAUUGCUCAACAAUGGAUAUGCAUUGGAAACUACCGAGCUCGAGAGCGGAAGAGGCAGGUGGAAUUCCUGGUGUAGCGGUGGAAUGCGUAGAUAUCAGGAAGAACACUCGUGGCGAAGGCGGCCUGCUGGUCCGUUUCUGACGCUGAGGCACGAAAGCCAGGGGAGCGAACGGG